rnacentral:rRNA from 1 species
AGCGAACGCUGGCGGCAGGCCUAACACAUGCAAGUCGAACGAAGCCUUCGGGCUUAGUGGCGGACGGGUGAGUAACACGUGGGAACGUACCUUUUGGUUCGGAACAACUCAGGGAAACUGGAGCUAAUACCGGAUGAGCCCUUAGGGGGGAAGAUUUAUCGCCGAAAGAGCGGCCCGCGUUAGAUUAGCUAGUUGGUGAGGUAAAGGCUCACCAAGGCAACGAUCUAUAGCUGGUCUGAGAGGAUGAUCAGCCACACUGGGACUGAGACACGGCCCAGACUCCUACGGGAGGCAGCAGUGGGGAAUCUUGCGCAAUGGGCGAAAGCCUGACGCAGCCAUGCCGCGUGAAUGAUGAAGGUCUUAGGAUUGUAAAAUUCUUUUACCAGGGACGAUAAUGACGGUACCUGGAGAAAAAGCCCCGGCUAACUUCUUGCCAGCCGCCGCGGUAAGAC